rnacentral:rRNA from 1 species
AUUGAACGCUGGCGGAAUGCUUUACACAUGCAAGUCGAACGGCAGCACGGGGGCAGCCCUGGUGGCGAGUGGCGAACGGGUGAGUAAUACAUCGGAACGUGCCCGGUCGUGGGGGAUAACGUAACGAAAGUUACGCUAAUACCGCAUACGAUCUGAUGAUGAAAGCGGGGGACCUUCGGUCCUCGCGCGAUCGGAUCGGCCGAUGUCAGAUUAGGUAGUUGGUGGGGUAAAGGCCUACCAAGCCGACUAUCUGUAGCUGGUCUGAGAGGACGACCAGCCACACUGGGACUGAGACACGGCCCAGACUCCUACGGGAGGCAGCAGUGGGGAAUUUUGGACAAUGGGCGCAAGCCUGAUCCAGCCAUGCCGCGUGAAGGACGAAGGCCUUCGGGUUGUAAACUGCUUUUGUACGGAACGAAAAGGCUCUGGCUAAUACCUGGGGCUCAUGACGGUACCGUAAGAAUAAGCACCGGCUAACUACGUG